rnacentral:lncRNA from 1 species
AGCGAGAGUGAAAGGAAGGAGCUGGAGGAGAUGCUGUGAUAGGCCAGGGUAUCAGGGCAUGCAGGUGGCAUGGGCCAAGGGCAAGGUUUGGCUUUCCUUGGAGAGGAAAGGAAGUCACUGUUAGAUGAGCAGAGCUGUGAGUCAGCCUGAUGUGUUUGCAAGAUGGCUGUGGUAGAGGUCACCUUGAGAAUAGGCUUCCACAGAGGAAGGACAAACAUCGGAGCCUGGAUGAGUCAGUUUAAGAGUCUGAGUAGCCCGGCCUUCUGUACAUUGAUGGGUUCAUGCUUCCCUUCAUGAAGACACAGCAAACAGGUAGCCUGUAAUUGCUUCCGGCCAUGAAGAUAUAUACCUUUAAUUGUUGUGUAGGCUCAGAGAAAAAUUAUAAUUUGAACUUCAUUUAUCCCUUGGUUUUUCUUGUUUGGGACUCUUCCCCGGAUGAUGGCAAUAUCAUCAUGAUAAUUCUUACUAAAGCCUGAUAUAAACAAGUGAACAGUUAGUAAGUGUUCAUUCUAUACAAGAAGCUAAGUCCCCUCCAUUCUUGGCCUCCAUGUCCCCUGUGGAGGGGGGCGGCACAUCACAAUCUUUCUCCCACCAUCCAGUGGAGGACACAGAGGCUCCGAGUGUUUCAGUGAAGUCUACAAAGUAGCCUUACUCCGAGCUUCAGCAGGUGACGUGGCUGAGGGAGACCUCAGUGGAAGAUGGCGAGGAAUAUUGGAGUCCAAGAUGGGGAGCUGUUGGGAGGACGUUAGAACCAAUUCUCAACCCUAGAGGAGAAUUGCCUUGGGUCGUGACCCACAGGUUGAGAACCACUGCGUUGCAGCAGGUACUACCCAGUGAGGGAGUGACAAAACUCAGAAUCCCCCCCCCCCCGCCCCUCCUAUGGACCUUCACUUCCUUGUCAUUAUUGUCCCUUGUGACUCAAGUCAUGGAAAAAGUCAACAUGAGAGUUCUCUGGUCAAGGACAGCUCUUUCUUGUAUUUUCCAUCCUCCAGUUGAUGUCUAGCUACAAUGUUGAAGUUUGGGGCUGCUACGGAGACAGCUGCUCUGAAUGUUUGUACACAAGUCUUCUGUCUUCAGAUCUCUUCAUUUUUCUGGAUAUAAUGCUCAGCUUCAGGAGGACACAAAUCAAAAUAACGGAUGGCUGGGCCGCUUUAAUCUCCGCUUCUCACCCCUUCCCCUUUGAACUUGGUCACUGUCAUGUUCCUAAUCUCUGGAGAUUCUGCCUCUAUCCCUUUCAAGAGCCAUCGGCCCCAUCUCUUUGGUUUGGUCUCCUGGAUGUGGCAUAAAUAUUUCUGUCCCUUUG